CCUACGGGGGGCAGCAGUGGGGAAUAUUGGACAAUGGGGGCAACCCUGAUCCAGCCAUGCCGCGUGUGUGAAGAAGGCCCUCGGGUUGUAAAGCACUUUCAGUGAGGAAGAACGCCUGGUGGUUAAUACCCAUCAGGAAAGACAUCACUCACAGAAGAAGCACCGGCUAACUCCGUGCCAGCAGCCGCGGUAAUACGGAGGGUGCGAGCGUUAAUCGGAAUUACUGGGCGUAAAGCGCGCGUAGGUGGCUUGAUAAGCCGGUUGUGAAAGCCCCGGGCUCAACCUGGGAACGGCAUCCGGAACUGUCAAGCUAGAGUGCAGGAGAGGAAGGUAGAAUUCCCGGUGUAGCGGUGAAGUGCGUAGAGAUCGGGAGGAAUACCAGUGGCGAAGGCGGUCUUCUGGACUGACACUGACACUGAGGUGCGAAAGCGUGGGUAGCAAACAGGAUUAGAUACCCGUGUAGUC
rnacentral:rRNA from 1 species